rnacentral:rRNA from 1 species
GAUGAACGCUGGCGGCGUGCCUAAUACAUGCAAGUCGAGCGAACAGACGAGGAGCUUGCUCCUCUGACGUUAGCGGCGGACGGGUGAGUAACACGUGGAUAACCUACCUAUAAGACUGGGAUAACUUCGGGAAACCGGAGCUACUACCGGAUAAUAUAUUGAACCGCAUGGUUCAAUAGUGAAAGACGGUUUUGCUGUCACUUAUAGAUGGAUCCGCUCCGCAUUAGCUAGUUGGUAAGGUAACGGCUUACCAAGGCGACGAUGCGUAGCCGACCUGAGAGGGUGAUCGGCAACACUGGAACUGAGACACGGUCCAGACUCCUACGGGAGGCAGCAGUAGGGAAUCCUCCGCAAUGGGCGAAAGCCUGACGGAGCAACGCCGCGUGAGUGAUGAAGGUCUUCGGAUCGUAAAACUCUGUUAUUAGGGAAGAACAAAUGUGUAAGUAACUAUGCACGUCUUGACGGUACCUAAUCAGAAAGCCACGGCUAACUACGUG